UGGGAUCAUAACCCAAGCCCAAGGCAGAUGCUUAACCGGCUGAGCCACCCAGGGGCCCCCAUACUGAGCUUCAAAGCAGAUGCCUUGGACCACCCCCCGCCUUCACAGUAUGUCCCACUUGGGCCGUGCAAAGCUCCCCUUGGGAGAUCUGUUUUCUUCCAGCAGAUCUCCCUUAGAAGAUCUAAUUCCAUUAUGCUUCUGGCACCGCUUGAAGUUGGAAAAAACCCACUGCCCAGCGACAACCCUAAUCCCCAUUCCGUAGGGAAGAAACAUCGAGGAGCUGGACAGCCUGUAUCGUGAGACCAUCCAACUCCAGGUUUCCACUGUGGUUUUACAGGUGCCGAUCUAGAGGAGCUCCGCAGUCCUUUCUCACGAGACUUUGGCGUGUGACAGCACGUCUGAAACAACGCAGGAGGAUAGUGGCUCUCAGGAUCCUUACCCAUUGCAGACUAAGCCUGUGGACCGGGCUGCUCGGGAAAACACAAAGUACCAGCAGGUAGCUCAAAGGCCAGAAGGAAAACCCAGCCGUCUGGAGGAAGCCGAGCUGGGAGGGAAACGAAACAGCACCCGUCUGAAGAGUGCACAGGCCUUGAGCCCCGGGUGUCGUAUGGAACUGAAGCUUCACUGAGUUCUGCACCUGAAAUUAAUAUUACACUAUGAGGAAGAUCCAAUGAAGGACUCUGAGGGCCUAGACACGGUGAGGCCUCCAGACAGAAGCAGCCCAGGACACUGAGUGACCUCCUCAUAAACCCACAUGGGACAAAACCACAAAAGAGCAAGAAAUAAGUAUUUUUGUUAUAUAUAGAUUUUUAAUGGUCUUAUAACUUUUUUGUUUCAUUUCAAUUCAAGUUAGUUAACA